rnacentral:rRNA from 1 species
GAUGAACGCUGGCGGCGUGCCUAAUACAUGCAAGUCGAGCGAACAGACGAGGAGCUUGCUCCUCUGACGUUAGCGGCGGACGGGUGAGUAACACGUGGAUCACCUACUUAUAAGACGGGGAUAACAUCGGGAAAAAGGUGCUACUAACGGCUAAUAUGUUGAACCGCAUGGAUCAAUAGUGAUAGAGGGUUUUGCUGUCACUUUUAGAUGGAUCCGCGUCGGCUUAGCUAGUUGGUAAGGUAACGGCUUACCAAGGGGACGAUGCGUGUCCGAUCUGAGAGGAUGAUCCGCCACACUGGAACUGAGACACGGUCCAGGCUCCUACGGGAGGGCGCAGUGGGGAAUAUUUGCCAAUGGGCGCAAGCCUGAUCCAGCCAUACCGCGUGGGUGAAGAAGGCCUUCGGGUUGUAAAGCCCUUUUUUUGGGAAAGAAAAGAAGCAGGUUAAUACCCCGCUGUUCUGACGGUACCCAAAGAAUAAGCACCGGCUAACUUCGUG